UACCCCGGCUUUCCUGCAAAGGAAAGCCCGGGUAGAAAUGAUUAGGAGCUCCGCCCUGGCGCUGUCGCUGCUGCCGUUAGCGUCCGCCCGACACAAGCCUGCCGCACACAGCAAACUUGGACCGCGUGGGGCGCGCGGGGUGCGCGGGGCUUCCCUGCCCUCCUGCUGCUCUCCGACCUGCCUCGCCCCUGGCCGUCCCAGCUCCCCGGGGUGCGCUCCGAUUGGGGCUGUACGAAACAGUUUCAGCACCAAAGACAUGGGAGUGACGAAGAUGCACGAGGCCUGGACCCUGCGGAGCUCACAUUCCGGUGGGAUAGAGACAGAAAACAGGCCCGUACUAUAAUAUCCGGUAACGGAAAGUAGGAAGAAGUAGGAAGGGCUAGAGAGUAACAUGCAGACUUGCUGGUAGGAAGGGCCUCUCUACGGGGUAUCAUUUGAACAAGAUGCCUCAAGGGGAGGAAGAGCCUCGGAUAGCAAGAUCUCGGACCAUGGAUAGAAGAGCGAAUGCAGAGGUCCUAGACCAAGGGCCGACUUAGUGUACUGGGAAAAGAAAGAUCAGUAUGGGUAGAAAAAUGUCACCGAGGAAAUGUCGCAGAAGGUAAAACAGAAAGGUAAGCAGAGGCCAGGUGAGGCAGAGCCGCUUAGCCGGUGGUAAGAAAAUUUCAUUUUAUUCUGAGCGCAGUGGGAAGAUAUUGAAGAACUUGCAUCAGUGUGAUAGAAUGUAAUUUGGGCUUUUGAAGACUGCUGUGGCCGUGCACACGUUCGAAGUUAUUAAGUGGCAUAAGCAACGAGUGCUUAGCGUGGGGAGGCUGCGAAGGGGACUGUUUGAAAUGAGCCUCCGUCUCCGGAUGGAAAGGCAGGAUCUGUGAUGGAAAGAGGAACAUUUCAUCAGUGUCCCCUGGCUGCGGCCUUAGACACCACAUGGCAGCGAUGCGUGCCCUGAAUGCUUGGGGCGCUUUCUACCCACCUGCCUGUAAACCAUGCAAAGUCUGGGGCCCUGUGCGCCUCCACCACGCGGGGCUGCAGAGUCGCCUCCACUCCCCUCUCCUGCUCUACAGUAGGUAUUCCUGGAAGAGCCGUCUCCUGAGGUUGACUUGCUCCACUGAGGGGGAUCUGGGCUCCUCCCGACUGCAGGGAGCCCUACAGCCCCCGGAUACACUGCAGUAGCUCAGUGGCAGAUUGGAGCUUGCCCAGUGCAGAUCGAGCCAGAAUGGAGAGCAGAGAAAUCUCCCUUCCCACCCCUACUCUCCUCGUGGCAAACAAACCACUUGUUCUGGUGACCGGUUGUGGCUCUGCUCACGAAGCAGGGACUAGCUUGUAACUCGUCAUCUUGAAUUUGUGCCCGAUCGUUUUCUGUCUAAUUUUCCUGCUCCCGUAUGCUCACGACCUUAGUUCACACCUGCCACAAAACCAUCAGUACUUAAGUCCCUUCUCCGGUUUUGUUUUCUACAGAAGCCGAGCUAAAGCCAGGGGAUCCAACCUCCAGUGUGAGGUGUGUUAAGGUUGAGGUUUGUGAUAAAUACAAAUAGGGUUUUGGACAUGUAUGUCUAGACUGUGGAGAAGAGGUCCAGGUAGGCCAAGGCUUCUCAUCCUCAGCACUGCUGACAUUUGAACGAGUUACUGCUGGGCUGUGGAGGGCUGUCCUGUGCAUUGGAGGACAUUCAGUAGCAUCCCUGGUCUCACUUCUGGAGAUACCAGCAGCACCAGUGCCCAGUUGUGACAACCAAAAAUUUCUCCAGGCACUGCCCGAUCACCUGCCCAACCACGAGGGUGGAUGUUGUGGUUAGAUCUGACAUGUCCCCCAGAUUCUCUUGUGUGUGGAAGGCCAUUGGACCAUGGGGUGACUUUCUGUUGGGAGGGGGUCUGGCUGGACCAGCCCCUGGGACAUCUCCUCACUUUGCUUCCUGUCUUCCAGGGGAUGAGCAGCUGUCCCUCACCCGAACCCUUCUCUUGGCCCAUUUCUGCCGACUCCACUGAAACCACCAAAAUAAACCUGUCUUCCUUUAAGUUGCAGGUGUGGGUAUUGUGUUUCAGUGACAAAGAAGGUGACUAAGAUUGAAGGAGAGCACUUGAGCACGAAGGUAGAAGGAGAAGAGGAAACAUUCAGAGAUUGUGCUUCAGGAUGGGAGGCCAGGCGGAGAAGGAAGAGCUGGCAACACAGCCAAGAGGGAGCAGCUGGCAAGCUCCCUGGUCAACGCAGACAAAGCACCACAACAUCCUCAAAUCCCCGACAGGGCCUCCUUGUGCUGCACAGUGUGUCUCUCUUCUCGUGUUCCUUCAGCAUCGGUGAGUCUCCUCCUUGGGGCUGGAGGUGCUUCCCCUUCCUCUUACCCAGCACAGCUCGAUGGAAAGGUCACUUCCCAUUGGACUUCACGCCUUGAGCAGAGUGAAGCCCCUGACUUCGCCUCCUUGACCUCCGCCCAGGCAUGCUGGGAUUAAGAAUUCUCAAGGCGACUUUGGAGCCCUGCUUAUCUCUGUUUCUAACUUUCUCUUGGAUUUUAUCUCACCACAAGUCUGGCUUCGAAAAAUAUGUUUUAACAUUGCAGCCUAAUUUUCAUUGCAUGUAGUGGAAGGAUUUAUUCCUAUAACCUAGCGGGCCGUAGGAAUUGGAAUUAUCCACCUUCUCCUUCCUCACUGUUGUGCAAGAAAUAGAAUAAAUGAAAUUUCAGGUUAUUGUUCAUAAAGGUUAUUGUUCCGAAAACUGAUUUGACAGAGGCUGUGGCUCUUUACAGAGGAAUGCAGACAAAAGACAGGUUAGAAAUUGUAAGGUUUUGAACAUGACCUUUUAUCUGUGCAGUUGGUAGGUGCCGAUGGAAGGAGCGAGAAAAGGAAAAUGUGUGCAGUGACUAGAUACACUCGGCCGACUCUCUGACAUCUGAAAGACACUGUAGACUUAAUCCAAGAGCCAGCAGUAACCUUAGGCUGUCCUUGAGUGUGAAGAGUGACUCCUCACGUCUCCAUAAACAGGCCCUGUAUACCACAGUUCUCUCCUGGUACUCUGAGCAAAUGUUUGGAAAAUGCUUAUGCAAAGCUUAUUAAAUGUGCUUGCAAAUCUAGAAUACUGACUUAAAUUGCAGCAAUGCAAUACAAAGCAAAAUAGAUGGAAGUUUUCUGGACAUGAGUUUUGUUAAAACAGGAAACAAAACA
rnacentral:lncRNA from 1 species